AAGGGUGAGUGUGAAAUAAACAAAUCCUGCAGUGUUUCUGCGUCCUAUUAAAGGCGGGGUCGGAUCUGAAAGGGAAGGACAGGGAACGCGCGGGGUACCGGAGGAGCCAUCCCGGCAGAGGACUUGCCCAGCCCACACCAGGUCGCGCACCGGCGAUUUCUCCUGUAGAACAAAGAAGGAAAUAGAGGGACCGAGAGGGGUGGGACUCGAACCCAAGUCUCCCACUCAUCUCACCCCACCCCACCCCACUCCACCCCACCCCACCCCUCCACUCCACUCCACUCCACACAUCCCAUCCAGCCAGCCUUUUCUGCCUGCUGGUGCCUCGGCCGCUGUCCGAGCCCCGCCCCGCGGGCUUGCACGUGGCCCCCGCCUGACCCGGCGCCCCGGGGCGGAGUAGGGCGGAGCGGGCGGCAAACGCAGCACUUUCCGCGGCUUUGACGAGCCCGCAGCGGCCGGGCCCGAGCGCAGAGCCGGGCCGAGACUGCACCAUGCAGGA
rnacentral:lncRNA from 10 species